rnacentral:sRNA from 1 species
UUCAUAGGAUCAAAGACUAAAGACGCCACAUCCUGUGGCAACGUCUUUGUGACCCCCAUCCUGGGGG